GUCCCUUAUAUAAUUGGUAAAAAUUUCCUGAUGACUGGGUUGCGUUUGCGUCUGGAGAAGUCGGCAUCAGGGCACGUGGAAGAUGUUCGUCAUGUUUGCGUUUAUCUCACUCAUAAAGACAUCUACUGCUGAUUCUCAUGUUUGCUUUUAUCUCACUCAUAAAGACAUCUACUGCUGAUUCACACAGAAAUCUCGUUCAAGCACUCCCUUCGUAAUGACAGAUUUUCCUUUGCCUUAGGUGAAAUCAAGGUCUAUGAGCCAUAGCCAAUUGGAAGAUCGAUGCAAAGUUAGUCAUAACAACAGAGAGAAAGAUAACCACAGAAAGAAAG
rnacentral:lncRNA from 1 species